rnacentral:rRNA from 1 species
UCGCUCCUACCGAUUUCGAGUGGUCCGGUGAAUCUUUCGGACUGCGCAGGGCUUCGUGCCUUGCCGCGGAAAGUCAGGUAAACCUUAUCACUUAGAGGAAGGAG